AGAGGUCUCGAGCGUUGUUCGGAUUCAUUGGGCGUAAAGGGCGCGUAGGCGGCGGGGUAAGUCUGGUGUGAAAUCUCGGAGCUCAACUCCGAAAUUGCACUGGAUACUGCUCUGCUAGAGGGCUGGAGAGGAGAUCGGAAUUCACGGUGUAGCAGUGAAAUGCGUAGAUAUCGUGAGGAAGACCAGUGGCGAAGGCGGAUCUCUGGACAGCUCCUGACGCUGAGGCGCGAAGGCUAGGGGAGCAAACGGG
rnacentral:rRNA from 1 species